GACGAACGCUGGCGGCGUGCCUAAUACAUGCAAGUCGAGCGCAGGAAAUCAUCUGAACCCUUCGGGGGGACGUUGAUGGAAUGAGCGGCGGACGGGUGAGUAACACGUAAAGAACCUGCCCUCAGGUCUGGGAUAACCACGAGAAAUCGGGGCUAAUACCGGAUGGGUCAUCGGACCGCAUGGUCCGAGGAUGAAAGGCGCUUCGGCGUCGCCUGGGGAUGGCUUUGCGGUGCAUUAGCUAGUUGGUGGGGUAAUGGCCCACCAAGGCGACGAGGCAUAGCCGACCUGAGAGGGUGAUCGGCCACCCUGGGACUGGGACACGGCCCAGACUCCUACGGGAGGCAGCAGUAGGGAAUCUUCCACAAUGGACGAAAGUCUGAUGGAGCAACGCCGCGUGAACGAUGAAGGCCUUCGGGUCGUAAAGUUCUGUUGUAAGGGAAGAACAAGUGCCGCAGGCAAUGGCGGCACCUUGACGGUACCUUGCGAGAAAGCCACGGCUAACUACGUGCCAGCCGCCGCGGUAA
rnacentral:rRNA from 1 species